rnacentral:rRNA from 1 species
AUGCACGCUGGCGGCGUGCCUCAUACAUGCAAGUCGAGCGAACAGACGAGGAGCUUGCUCCUCUGACGUUAGCGGCGGACGGGUGAGUAACACGUGGAUAACCUACCUAUAAGACUGGGAUAACUUCGGGAAACCGGAGCUAAUACCGGAUAAUAUAUUGAACCGCAUGGUUCAAUAGUGAAAGACGGUUUUGCUGUCACUUAUAGAUGGAUCCGCGCCGCAUUAGCUAGUUGGUAAGGUAACGGCUUACCAAGGCGACGAUGCGUAGCCGACCUGAGAGGGUGAUCGGCCACACUGGAACUGAGACACGGUCCAGACUCCUACGGGAGGCAGCAGUAGGGAAUCUUCCGCAAUGGGCGAAAGCCUGACGGAGCAACGCUGCGUGAGUGAUGAACGUCUUCGGAUCGUAAAACUCUGUUAUUAGGGAAGAACAAAUGUGUAAGUAACUAUGCACGUCUUGACGGUACCUAAUCAGAAAGCCACGGCUAACUACGUG